CAGUCGCCACGGGAAUACGUAGGAGGCAAGCGUUGUCCGGAAUUAUUGGGCGUAAAGGGCUCGCAGGCGGUUUCUUAAGUCUGAUGUGAAAGCCCCCGGCUCAACCGGGGAGGGUCAUUGGAAACUGGGAAACUUGAGUGCAGAAGAGGAGAGUGGAAUUCCACGUGUAGCGGUGAAAUGCGUAGAGAUGUGGAGGAACACCAAUGGCGAAGGCGACUCUCUGGUCUGUAACUGACGCUGAGGAGCGAAAGCGUGGGGAGCGAACAGGAUUAGAUACCCCUGUAGUCCCUGUCUCUUAUAC
rnacentral:rRNA from 1 species